GAUUGAUAUUACCAUUGUGCGUUUUCCAAAGAUUCUUCACUACACAAAGACCUUAGACCUACCACAAGAAGGGCAUUUGGGAUAAGGGAAACAGAAGUUUUUGCAUUUGUGAGAAUGGGAAAGUUUGAAAGAAUGAUGGCAGAGCUUGCAAAGGAAUUGUUGGUUACCGUAUUUGUCGUGACCGUUUUUGUAUAAGCUGGAGGAACCGCAUUUGGGACAAGAGAGUGUUGAGUUGUUCAUAUCUGGAUACCUCCUUUGUCGAAAGUAGGUUGGGGGGUGUCCCCUCUUUAAAGGAUAAUGUGGUUUUUGGAAAGUUUCAAUACUUUUAGUUAACAUUAUCAA
rnacentral:rRNA from 1 species